rnacentral:rRNA from 1 species
GACGAACGCUGGCGGCGUGCUUAACACAUGCAAGUCGAACGGAAAGGCCCUGCUUUUGUGGGGUGCUCGAGUGGCGAACGGGUGAGUAACACGUGAGUAACCUGCCCUUGACUUUGGGAUAACUUCAGGAAACUGGGGCUAAUGCCGGAUAGGAGCUCCUGCUGCAUGGUGGGGGUUGGAAAGUUUCGGCGGUUGGGGAUGGACUCGCGGCUUAUCAGCUUGUUGGUGGGGUAGUGGCUUACCAAGGCUUUGACGGGUAGCCGGCCUGAGAGGGUGACCGGGCCACAUUGGGUCUGAGUGACGCCCCAGCCCCCUCGGGGGGCAGGGGGGGGGAUGUUUCGCCGAUGGGGCGGAGGCUGGAAGCAGCAACGCCGGGGGGGGGAUGCGGGCCUUCGGUUGAUAACCCUUUUUCGCCUGUGACGAAGGGUGGGUGACGGUAGUGGGAAAAGACCCACCGGCUAACUCCGU